UAAGAAGAAGCAUAAUGCUUUCUCAUAUAUUCACUUUAAAUUAUUUUAAACGAUUCUCUAGAGAAGUAUUUUUACUAUAAUAUGGGUUUAUUCUUUUUCUUUCUUCUUUAAUUCCUUUAUGAUACAUUAUAUUGUCAGUGCGUACACAUGUAUGCCAUGGUCAGAGAUGAAUGAUAAAUUAUCAGUAUACUUUUUAUUUGUAACAACCUUCAAUAAUCAACAGUAAAAAAUGCACAGAAUCAAUAUAAAUAUGUGUAUAUAUAUAUAUAUAUCCCAACAAUUCAAUGUUAUAUAUACUCAACCACCAUGCGAGAUUCUGAGUCUGUGUUUUAUGAGGCACAAGUGCUGCCAACCAUUUAGUCUGACUGAAAAUCUGUUAUAGAGGAAGGGAAUGGAACUCGACUGCAGUCUGCAAGAGGGCGGACACUUUGCCUUGGCCAACUGGCCUUAUUCACAUAUGCUUAUGUGUUUUCUAUUUUUUAUUUUGAAUAAAUACCACAAGGUAUCCCCACACUCGAAGGAUGAGAUUAAUCCCCGCUCUGGGUUUGGUUUGUCCUUGGCCACAAAAUACUUCUAACGGGUUUCGAACCCCUGCUAUUAAGGUACUAGUUAGUUCGCCAGUUAAAUGUGACAGUUUGCCAACCGCACUACACAUUGUGAUUGUAUUUUUUCUAUUUUAAAAGAGGAGGAUUUAAAUUUAAAACUCCUUUUUUUUGUUAAAAAAAAUAUUAAAAAGAAAAAUACUACUAAAUUAAUAAUUAAUGAAUUUUCAUGUGCAUCACAUAACGACGACAGUGUGCACAUUUUGGAGCA